GACGAACGCUGGCGGCGUGCCUAAUACAUGCAAGUUGAGCGCUGAAGGUUGGUACUUGUACCCACUGGAUGAGCAGCGAACGGGUGAGUAACGCGUGGGGAAUCUGCCUUUGAGCGGGGGACAACAUUUGGAAACGAAUGCUAAUACCGCAUAAAAACUUUAAACACAAGUUUUAAGUUUGAAAGAUGCAAUUGCAUCACUCAAAGAUGAUCCCGCGUUGUAUUAGCUAGUUGGUGAGGUAAAGGCUCACCAAGGCGAUGAUACAUAGCCGACCUGAGAGGGUGAUCGGCCACAUUGGGACUGGGACACGGCCCAAACUCCUACGGGAGGCAGCAGUAGGGAAUCUUCGGCAAUGGACGAAAGGCUGACCGAGCAACGCCGCGUGAGUGAAGAAGGUUGUCGGAUCGUAAAACUCUGUUGGUAGAGAAGAACGUUGGUGAGAGUGGAAAGCUCAUCAAGUGACGGUAACUACCCAGAAAGGGACGGCUAACUACGUG
rnacentral:rRNA from 1 species